GGUUGGAAGAGAGAUUUUAUGUUAAAACAAAUUCAAAGUCAAAUCAGGGUUUGAUAUCUUAUCACUUUUUAAAACCUGUUCCGAUAUCGAUAGACAUGUAAUACUUGCUACUGUAUAUUUUAAAUACAGUACACGCCUAUCAUUUUAUACGGACAAAUGGUAUGCAAUCUCUAGAAGUUAAUGCCUGAGUUCAGUAUUUGCCGUCUUCAUCAUUUGAU
rnacentral:lncRNA from 1 species